UCGUGGAUCGAUCUGUCUACCUAAUCGUGAUAACGAACGAGACGCCUGCCAAUAUCUAGACACGCUAGUGGCUGCCUCACAAGGGUGGUUUACUAUGCGGCUGAUUUUGCUUCAUAUUGGGACAACCGGCGUCAAGCCGGGUGAAGAGGCGCAAUAACA
rnacentral:rRNA from 1 species